GUACGCCUUUGUCUGUGAUGAGGAGGGCUUUAAGUACUCAAAGUGUCGAAGGUGAUUGGUUUGCAGGCAGGCAGGCAGUGCGGGGCUCGUCGGAGCAGCAAACGCUGCAGUGAAUGCUGGAAAUAUGACAAGCUACCUGUCCACGAGCUAGCAGAAUUCCUCUGG